AUUGAACGCUGGCGGCAUGCCUAACACAUGCAAGUCGAGCGAGCGGCGGACGGGUGAGUAAUGUCUGGGAAACUGCCGCAUGGAGGGGGAUAACUACUGGAAACGUUAGCUAAUACCGCAUACUAUCGGAGGUGCCCAUAUGGGAUUAGCUGGUAGGUGAGGUAACGGCACACCUAGGCGACGAUCCCUAGCUGGUCUGAGAGGCUGACCAGCCAAACUGGAACUGAGACACGGUCCAGACUCCUACGGGAGGCAGCAGUGGGGAAUUUUGGACAAUGGGCGAAAGCCUGAUCCAGCCAUGCCGCGUGUGUGAAGAAGGUCUUCGGAUUGUAAAGCACUUUAAGUUGGGAGGCGUUACCGACAGAAGAAGCACCGGCUAACUUCGUGCCAGCAGCCGCGGUAAUAC
rnacentral:rRNA from 1 species